GGAAGAGAAGACUGACUCCACACAAAGGAAAUAGAGUCAGGAAGAGUUUGUGAGGACUGAUUCGUUAGAGGAGAACCUGACGAUGUAAGAUCAAAGUUCUUCAGGAAACAGUGGAAUCUGAGGCCUAGGAGGAAAAUGUGCUUCAUAAAAAACAAGCACAAGUCUCCCCUGAAAGAUGAGAAAAGACAGACUCUGAGUACUCAUGUCCGGAGACCAAUAAACUGCUGGUAAGCAAGUAAGUGAGUUUGUGAUCGGUUAUAUCCAUUUCUUGGUAAAAUAUAAGGUGCAGUCUUCCAUUGGGUGAAAGACAAAGGUGUGAAGGUUGGUGGAGUCUAAAGAGUG
rnacentral:lncRNA from 1 species